rnacentral:misc_RNA from 1 species
AACAAUGUCGAUGAUGGCGCUCAUACUCCGGCGAAAAAUUCUCUCAAAACCCUACAUUUCUCAUCAAUCAUCGCUAUACUCCACGACGCCGGAGAUAAAGAGUUUGAAUAGUCAACGAAUUGAGAAAAUACUCAUAGCUAAUAGAGGCGAGAUUGCUUGUAGAAUUAUUACAACUGCUAAGAGAUUAGGGAUUCGUACUGUUGCAGUUUACAGUGAUGCUGAUAGAGAUAGUUUACAUGUGAAGUCUGCUGAUGAGGCUUUUCGUAUCGGUCCUCCUCCUGCUCGUUUGAGCUAUUUGAAUUCUUCUGCUAUUAUUGACGUUGCUAAUAAAUCUGGCGCCCAGGCUAUCCACCCAGGUUAUGGAUUCUUAUCUGAAAGUGCUGAUUUUGCUCAACUUUGUGAAAAUGAGAAUCUCUUAUUUAUUGGACCUCCUGCAUCUGCGAUUCGUGACAUGGGUGAUAAAAGUGCUUCAAAGAGAAUAAUGGGUGCAGCUGGGGUUCCACUUGUGCCUGGAUAUCAUGGUGAUGAGCAAGAUAUUGACUUUAUGAAGUUGGAAGCAGACAAGAUUGGGUAUCCUAUUUUAAUUAAGCCAACCCAUGGAGGUGGAGGGAAGGGUAUGAGGAUUGUUCAGAGUCCAAAUGAAUUUGCGGACUCAUUCUUGGGGGCCCAACGUGAGGCAGCUGCAUCAUUUGGUAUAAGUACAAUCCUACUGGAGAAAUAUAUUACUAAACCAAGACAUAUAGAAGCCCAG